GCGGUCGAUCUGCUCGGGGGCCGGGGGGCAGAAGUCUGGGAUGCGCAGUCGGUGCAGCGUGAGGCCCGGGCAGCCGCCGCUGUGCGGGGGCCCGCGCUCCGUCAGGGACACCAGGUGCCGCACGCCCAGGUCCAGCAGAUGAGAAAACUGAGGCCCGGGAGACGUUCAGGAAUUGGCCAAGAUGUGACUGAUGGACUGGGGACCUGAAACAGGCAGCCUGUCUCCAGAGUCUGUAGCACCAUAGUAUCGUUUCCUAAAGUGAAAAGAAGUUUCCUUCCUCUUUACGUAACCGUCCUCAUGCUCCCAAAUAUCAUCUGGGUUAAACAAUUGGA